UGCAGUCGAGCGGUAGAGAGGUGCUUGCACCUCUUGAGAGCGGCGGACGGGUGAGUAAUGCCUAGGAAUCUGCCUGGUAGUGGGGGAUAACGUUCGGAAACGGACGCUAAUACCGCAUACGUCCUACGGGAGAAAGCAGGGGACCUUCGGGCCUUGCGCUAUCAGAUGAGCCUAGGUCGGAUUAGCUAGUUGGUGAGGUAAUGGCUCACCAAGGCGACGAUCCGUAACUGGUCUGAGAGGAUGAUCAGUCACACUGGAACUGAGACACGGUCCAGACUCCUACGGGAGGCAGCAGUGGGGAAUAUUGGACAAUGGGCGAAAGCCUGAUCCAGCCAUGCCGCGUGUGUGAAGAAGGUCUUCGGAUUGUAAAGCACUUUAAGUUGGGAGGAAGGGUACUUACCUAAUACGUGAGUAUUUUGACGUUACCGACAGAAUAAGCACCGGCUAACUCUGUGCCAGCAGCCGCGGUAAUACAGAGGGUGCAAGCGUUAAUCGGAAUUACUGGGCGUAAAGCGCGCGUAGGUGGUUCGUUAAGUUGAAUGUGAAAUCCCCGGGCUCAACCUGGGAACUGCAUCCAAAACUGGCGAGCUAGAGUAUGGUAGAGGGUGGGUGGAAUUUCCUGUGUAGCGGUGAAAUGCGUAGAUAUAGGAAGGAACACCAGUGGCGAAGCGACCACCUGGACUGAUACUGACACUGAGUGCGAAAGCGUGGGGAGCAAACAGAUUAGAUACCCUGGUAGUCCACGCCGUAACGAUUGUCAACUAGCCGUUGGGAGCUUUG
rnacentral:rRNA from 1 species